UACGUAGGGGGCAAGCGUUGUCCGGAAUUAUUGGGCGUAAAGCGCGCGCAGGCGGCUAGUUAAGUCAGAUGUGAAAGGCUGCGGCUCAACCGCAGAGCUGCAUCUGAAACUGAUCAGCUUGAGUGCAGGAGAGGAUAGUGGAAUUCCCGGUGUAGUGGUGGAAUGCGUAGAGAUCGGGAGGAACACCAGUGGCGAAGGCGACUGUCUGGACUGUAACUGACACUGAGGCGGGAAAGCGUGGGGAGCAAACAGG
rnacentral:rRNA from 1 species